AUGGCCAGCAAUGGCAUGGCGUCCUCUCCCUCCGCCUUCUUCCCUCCGAAUUUCCUCCUCCACAUGCAGCAAGCACCACCGCAGCAUGACCCCCAAGAACACCACCAGCAGCACCACCACCACCACCAUGAGCACCACCUCCCUCCUCCCCAUCCCCAGCACAACCCCUUCCUCCCCUCCCCCCAAUGCCCCUCCCUCCAGGACUUCCGUGGCGGUCUGUCGCCAAUGCUGGGGAAGCGCCCGGCGAUGUACGGGGGCGGCGGCGACGGGGGCUGCGGCGGCGACGAGGUGACCGGCGGAGGCGCGAACGAGGAGGAGACGUCGGACGACGGGUCGCAGCUGGGCGGCGAGAAGAAGCGGCGGCUGAACGUGGAGCAGGUGCGGACGCUGGAGAAGAACUUCGAGGUGGCCAACAAGCUGGAGCCGGAGCGCAAGAUGCAGCUGGCCCGCGCGCUGGGGCUGCAGCCGCGGCAGGUGGCCAUCUGGUUCCAGAACCGCCGCGCCCGGUGGAAGACAAAGCAGCUGGAGAAGGACUACGACGUGCUCAAGCGCCAGUUCGACGCCGUCAAGGCCGAGAACGACGCCCUCCUCUCCCACAACAAGAAGCUCCAGUCCGAGAUACUGGGACUGAAGGGAUGCAGGGAGGCGGCGUCGGAGCUGAUCAACCUCAACAAGGAGACGGAGGCGUCCUGCAGCAACCGCAGCGAGAACAGCUCCGAGAUCAACCUCGACAUCUCGCGCACGCCGCCGUCCGACGGCCCCAUGGACGCUCCGCCCUCGCACCAGCAGGGCGGCGGGGGCGGGGGCAUGAUCCCCUUCUACCCCUCCGUCGCGCGCCCCGCGGGCGUCGACAUCGACCAUCUCCUCCACGCCUCCGUCCCCAAGAUGGAGCACCACCACGGCGGCCCCGACACGCCCAGCUUCGGCAACCUGCUGUGCGGCGUCGACGAGCCGCCGCCGUUCUGGCCGUGGGCGGAUCACCAGCAGUUCAACUGA
rnacentral:rRNA from 1 species